CGGGGUGUAGCUCAGUUGGUAGAGCGCACGCAUGGGGUGCGUGAGGCCGCCCGUUCGAGUCGGGUCACCCCGA
rnacentral:tRNA from 1 species